rnacentral:tRNA from 1 species
GCCCGAGUAGCUCAGUUGGUCAGAGCGCCUGUCUUGUAAACAGGGGGUCAAGGGUUCGAAUCCCUUCUCGGGCU